rnacentral:rRNA from 1 species
AUGCUGGCUUUCUUCCGCCAAAUUAACGAGCUACAGAAUCAGGAAUUAAAAUCUCGAGAAAUAAAAAUAUGUACUAUGUUAGAAAUGUGCCAGAAGACAGGUAACAUGACGCGGUUUGACAGAGCGUCAUGCUGUUUAAUACUGGCCGGUGUUUCCAUUCAUCUAUGCUUUCCCUCUACGGGAUGUCCAAACUGUUAUCAACAGGCCAUCCUUCCAGUUGUGAAGCAACAAACACAAAAACAAUUUUCCAUUGCAAACUACAAGCAGAAAAAACAUGAAAAAAAUAGCAAAACUUGCAGAUGGCAAGAACUAAUCAAUCAUUUCCCCAGUUCAGGUCUCUAA